UACGGGGGGUGCAAGCGUUAAUCGGAGUUACUGGGCGUAAAGGGCGCGUAGGCGGUUGUAUGAGUGUGAUGUGAAAGCCCCGGGCUUAAACUGGGAAGUGCAUCGCAAACGAUAUAACUGGAGUAGAUGAGAGGGUGGCGGAAUUUCCGGUGUAGCGGUGAAAUGCGUAGAGAUCGGAAGGAACGUCGAUGGCGAAGGCAGCCACCUGGCAUCAUACUGACGCUGAGGCGCGAAAGCGUGGGUAGCGAACAGG
rnacentral:rRNA from 1 species